AACGAACGCUGGCGGCAUGCCUUACACAUGCAAGUCGAACGAGACCUUCGGGUCUAGUGGCGCACGGGUGCGUAACGCGUGGGAACCUGCCCUUAGGUUCGGAAUAACUCCCCGAAAGGGGUGCUAAUACCGGAUAAUGUCUUCGGACCAAAGAUUUAUCGCCUUUGGAUGGGCCCGCGUUGGAUUAGCUAGUUGGUAGGGUAAAAGCCUACCAAGGCGACGAUCCAUAGCUGGUCUGAGAGGAUGAUCAGCCACACUGGGACUGAGACACGGUCCAGACUCCUACGGGAGGCAGCAGUGGGGAAUAUUGGACAAUGGGCGAAAGCCUGAUCCAGCAAUGCCGCGUGAGUGAUGAAGGCCUUAGGGUUGUAAAGCUCUUUUACCCGGGAUGAUAAUGACAGUACCGGGAGAAUAAGCUCCGGCUAACUCCGUG
rnacentral:rRNA from 1 species